CUUGUGUUAGUGUGUUUGUUUAAUCCUUCCAAACGCCGCAGUUUGUGUUUGUAGAACUUCACUCCCUUGAGCGUCGGCCUAAACCAGACAAAACACGAUCAGCCUCCACACUGAUGUGACGGCACCAGCGCUCGUUUCAAGCAGGAUGAACACACUCACUUUGUUUCCAGCUGCUGAAACAAACAGAGGCCUGUUGUGAAGGAUGAGUUUUAAUUGGGUGUGUAUCUUAAGAGGGGAACUCAGUUAAACACAAGAUCUAAUCAAUGUGGUGAUAUGUAUAUAAGCAAUAGUCACCAGCAGAUGUGUGUCCCGCGGCGUCCGGUCCGGUCUGGUCCGAUCCGGUACGGUCUGGUCCGGGCCAGUCAGUUGGACGUGGAAGGGCGGAGCGCCAAAGAGGAGGUGGAGGUUCCAGCUGCAUGUGUGUAAAUGAGCAAAAAGACUUAAUCUAAAAGAGGCAUGUAAGCAAAGAGCAAGAAUAUAGAGUAUAAAUGUAAAGAUUGUAAAAGUAGGAUUGAUUGCAGAGUAACUGAUAUGAAGUUUGUAAAAAUGUGACGUACGUGAUGUGUGUUCCAGGCGGCGGUCAGAGCUGAGGCCUGCCGACUGCGCCGUGAUCCUUCUGUGAUCAAUGAAAAUGGAUAUAAGGUUUACAUAUGACACACUGCUUCCGGUGUGAUGGACAUGUGAGCGCAAGGAGUGAAGAGCCGGAGUUGGAGCGGCGUGCCGGUCCUGGUCCUGGUCUCCUGGUGGCGGGACAUCUGCAUUCAAAGAAGACACAAGCACAAAGUCAAAGUGUAAGUCCUGUACAUUGCAAUGAGAAGAACUCAAGAAACUGUUUCAUUUGAGCUGCUUGGAAGUUAAUGGAAGAACACAAAGGCAUUUGAUGUUAGUUAUUCUUGCUAGUUGUUCAGUGAUAUUGAAUUGAAUUGAAGUUACCAGGAACGUUUGUAGCAUGUGGUCCCGUCCGUGCUGCCGCCAAGCCGAGGUGAAAGGUCAGACUGUCCAACAGGAGGUGGAUGGAUCCAAUUUGAUUUAUACAAGGGGGAACCCGGAUCGUACCAAGCGGAGGAGAGAACAGAGGGGUGUUUGGCUGCUGCCCAAAACAGCAGUUGUACAGGUUGUAUGUUGAAAUCAGCCAAUCACAUGAACUUUGAGGGCUGACAAUGAGAUGACAUUCACCUGCCUUCAAUGUAUGUACAUAUUCUAAUUACAUAUAAUACACUCGUUCUGAUGUUAGUAAUUAUUGAUUAUGGAUUUAAAAAAUGUAUAAAUCACAUAGUAAUAUAGUAGUCGAAUGCGCACGUGUUGGACAGGACGUGUUCGACAUGCUGGCAAAUAUUCACAUUUAGUCUUUGACGUCAGAGAGAGGAAAACAUUUAAAGGAGUUUUUAACUUUAAUUCUGUAUUAAAACAUUUAAAAUCAUUAUAUAUAUAUAGAGAGAGAGAGAGACAGAGAGUUAUAUUUUUUUAAUUUAAAUUGUACUGCUUUGAUAAUAUGAAACAACUUAUACAAUACUGUACAUUUUCCUAAAUCCCUAUAAAGUAAACCAUUUGUAAAAUUCAGUGGAUUGAUCCAGUUCUCAGAUUACAGAUUUACAUCCAAAAAAAAUGAAUGUACUAAAAUACUAAAGCGCCAGAUUUACAGGUCAUAGAGAAAUAUUCCACAUAACUUUACCCCACAGAGCUGAUGUUUCCUCAGUACGGAGGAGAAAGAAAAAGAAACAAAGCAAUUAUCCAAUUAAAUGUAUCUGGUUGCUUGCA